rnacentral:rRNA from 1 species
GAUGAACGCUGGCGGCAUGCCUAACACAUGCAAGUCGAACGGAGCUAUUAGACGGAAGCCUUCGGGCGGAAGAUUAAUAGCUUAGUGGCGGACGGGUGAGUAACGCGUGAGUAACCUGCCUCUCAGAGGGGGAUAACGUUCUGAAAAGAACGCUAAUACCGCAUAUAAUCAAGAAACCGCAUGAUUUUUUGAUGAAAGGAGCAAUCCGCUGAGAGAUGGACUCGCGUCUGAUUAGCUAGAUGGUGGGGUAACGGCCUACCAUGGCGACGAUCAGUAGCCGGACUGAGAGGUUGAACGGCCACAUUGGGACUGAGACACGGCCCAGACUCCUACGGGAGGCAGCAGUGGGGGAUAUUGCGCAAUGGGGGAAACCCUGACGCAGCAAUGCCGCGUGAAGGAAGAAGGUUUUCGGAUUGUAAACUUCUUUUGUUAAGGACGAAGAAUGACGGUACUUAACGAAUAAGCUCCGGCUAACUAUGUG